AAUGAUGCCCCCCAGUGUUGGAUCUUCCUUACUCAGUCCACUGAUUCAAACGCUGAUCUCUUCUGGAAGCGCCUCACAGGCAUACCCAGAAACGAUGCCUUGCCAGUUAUCUGGACAUCCUUUAACCCAGCCAAGCUUUAGAAAGAUAAGCCACAAAUUGCCCUUCUUAUAUUUCACAUCUUAACUCACAAGAGGAAGAACAAUUCAUUUUGAAUGGAUGCCCCAACCCAGGAGACACAUAGAAGACCCGUACCUUGCCCAGGCCCUGGGGAUCCUGCUGAGGAUACAAGACAAAUGAGAUGUUCCUACCCUGGCAGAACUCACCAUCCUGAGCGGGAGUAUCAGCGCCACUUAGCAGAAUGCCAGGAACAACCUCACCAACUGAACUAGGAAUUAUAUUCAGAUGCCCAUGAAGAAAACACAAACAAAGAUGGCUUACUUACAUAAGCCAAUCUGGAGGUACAAAGUCCAAGGCAAGUCUCUCUACCAUAUGAAGUCAUUGGAAAACCAAGCUGCUUCUACCCUUCCGUUCUAGGAUCCUGGUGCAUGGGUUUAAUGGUCAAGGCCACCCUGUGGUCCAAGAUGGUUACUGGAGUGCCAGCCAUUACAUCUGUAUUCCAGGCAGUGGGAAAAUGAGGUGAGGCCUCAGGGGUACACCUUCCGGCUGUGGAGGUCUCCUUUAACCACCACCUUGUAUUUAUAUUAAUAUAACAUCUUGCUCUUUAUUUUCUAUCAUAAUCUCCUAUUAAUUUUCUAUAUUAACAAGUGAAGUGUUUCCUUUGGGUAUUUGCUGGUUGCUGUUCCUCUGGUCUUCCUUUUGGUAAGUUUUUGCCUUCUUGUUACAUACACACAUGCACACACAUGCUCACACAUGCUCACACAUGCAAAUGCACACACGCACACAUACAUGCACAUUUGGGAACCGAGUUCUAAAACGCAAUGUCUUUGCCUCCAAGAGCAGAGAAAUUAAACUUUUCCCUUAAAAAUGAGAAAGUAAGUGAGCGUUG